rnacentral:rRNA from 1 species
GACCUCAAAUCAGACAGAGUCCA